rnacentral:rRNA from 1 species
GACGUAGGGGGCCAGCGUUGUUCGGAAUUACUGGGUGUAAAGGGUUCGUAGGCGGUGCGGCAAGUUGGGAGUGAAAUCUCUGGGCUUAACCCAGAGGCUGCUUCCGAAACUGCUGUGCUUGAGUGUGGGAGAGGCGCGUGGAAUUGCAGGUGUAGCGGUGAAAUGCGUAGAUAUCAGGAGGAACACCGGUGGCGAAGGCGGCUACCUGGACAGAAACUGACGCUGAGGCGCGAAAGCUAGGGGAGCAAACAGG